UUGAGAUGACUUGAGUUCAUUUUUGGUGCGGCGUUAAGGUGCUUCCCCUUAGGGCAGUGAAGACAGACUUUCCUACUAUGAUGAUAUAGUUCAAAAACUUUAAAAGUACGAUGCUGUGGAAACCAAGAUGUGUCAGUCUUCAGGGCUGCUGUCUUCUAACAGGUGGAAUCAGAGCAUCUCCCUGGUUAUCUGGCACAGGAUUGAGCCUUGAAUUAGCAAACCCUACCUCCUGUCCCCGCUUUACCCACUGCGCCUGCUUAAUACCUAUUUGUAAAUUGAAAAAACUGCGUCCUUUGUUCAGGGUUGGAAAAAGAUACGGGACUGGAAAAGAACAGAUAUGUCCAGGAGUAGCCAAUGAAUCAUCCUCAGAUGUUUAAAAAACAAACAAACAAAAAAACAGUAACAGUAACAACUGAUUAUUUAUUUAUUUAUUCUUUUUGAGGCAGGGUUUUCCUAUGCAGUUUGAGCUGUCCCUGAACUCAACUUUGUAGCCCAGGCUGGUCUCCAACUUCCAACAGUCCUGCCUCAGCCUUCUGAGUGCUGGGAUUACACAAUGCCUGACUAACGAUCAUUCAUUUUUGUGUCCAACUGAAUUCCACCUUUCAGGUGUAUGGCCUCAGAAUAAGCUUUUCAGGUUAAAGUUUUGUUUUGUUUUGUUUUGUUUUGUUUUGUUUUGCUUUGGUUUUGGUACCAGAAAUCGAACUCAGGACUUUGCGCUUGCCAGGCAUGUGCUCUGCCACUGAACCAAAUCCCCACCCCCAAAGUUGUUUAACAGUGGCUGGUGAUGCAGUGCAGGUGGCUUCAAAUUCAGCUUGCCAAGUGUUGGGGUUCUGCAGAGCCACUAACUCUGAUAGAAUAAAGACUUUUUAUUUUAUUUUUUUUUAAAUAAAGACUUUUUAAAGAAAGGAUGGGGCAGUGGAUACAAUAAAGAGCAUUUUAGCAAUGAGUGAGGUUUAGUUCUGACCCUCAGCUGUUAAAGGUGGACAAAAGGGUAAACUGCUGAGAUUCAUCAAAGUUUACAUAUAUUAUAUAGGCACUAUACAACUAUAUAAAUCCUAUGAGAACGUUAAACCAUCUUACUUGUAUGUAAAUGGAGCAGAGAUCAUAUCUCAAGCAAUUCCACAUGACCCUUAUCUUUCACAAUAACCAGGUGAAAUAUAAAGAUUUUUGUUCUUAAGAUUUAUAGAACUGGCAAGCAUCUCUUGACUAGGCAUUAUUUGUCACAAACCUUCACCUGUGAGAAAGUGUACAUCACUUUGUAGCUCAGGUGGCCUCAAAUUUGAACUCGAAACGAUCCUUUUGCCUCAGCCUUCAGCCACUCAUUUCUUAUAUUGACUGCUCCUAAAUAAGCUUCGCUGUAAGAUGGCUUUUCAGGGACAAGAAUCACUGUCAUCUUCUAAUCAGCUAGCUGGUAUUAAAAAGUUCCUUCUCAGUCAGGCAUAGUGGCACAUCCAAGGAUGGUGGCUGAGGAAGCUCACAGGUUCUAGUGUAGAUUGAGCAACACAAUGACUUAGGGAGACCCUGUCUCUAAAAAGAGACCAGGUUGAGCCAGGAUGGGCACCACCUGUUGGAGAAGCCAGGUAUGGCGGCACACGCCUGUAAUGCCAUCCCAGCACUUGGGAGGCCAAGGCCAAAGGACUGCCACAAGCUCAAGGCCAACCUGGGCUACAUAGUUUAAGGCCAGUCUAAACUGCACAGUGAGACCCUGUCCCAAAUAACCAACAAUAAAAAAGCUGGGCAGAGCAGAGGGUGGGGCUGGUGAUGUGUGGCAUAAUGCUAGACAGAGUAUGUACUUAACAUUUCCUUUAACCAUUCUCAGAAGUUACUUGAUUUGUAAUUUGGCUGUUUGGCUUCAAAACAGAAACAAUUCAAAGAGGGAUGUAAUGCUCAGGACCUGAAGAUGGGUUCAGAGAUUACAAUUCAGGAAAUACCUGAGUCAGGUUAUAUGUGGGAAGCGGCAGUGGGAGGAGCUGGUAACCUCCAUUUUGGGAAAUGACUUUGGGAGUAGGGAGUGAAUGCUAGAUACUGUAGCAUAAGAAAUGGAAGAAAUAAAAGAAAUCUGUAAUGCCUAUCUUCAGAAAUUUUACUUCACUCAUUUGGGGUUCUUCUGCCUCACCGUUCUAGUUAAGGAUUAGCCUAGGCCUUAUAAAUCCCUGCUCAGGGUCACUGCAGCCACCUCACUGUGCUGUCACCUAUCCAAUGGCCACCAGUAGUUCUAAUAUGUAAAUGUGACUUGUCCUUCUAGAACUAUGUAGGGCUACAGCCAGGUCCUUCUUGUUGUUUCUGUUUGCCUAGAUUACCUACCUUUAAUGUUCUUCCAAUGGCCUCUGAGGCAUAAUUGAGUAGCUCUGAACUUUGGGGGGUUUUUGGCAGUGCCAGGGAUUGAACUCACUUCUCAAAUGGCUAGGCAAGCAUUCUACCACUCAGCCACACCCUCACCCUGCCUCUAGACUUUUACCAAGAUCAUCACUCUUGUUUGGCUUCUCCCCCUUCUCUUUCCUGCUUCCCAAACUGCCAUCUGAAGCACUUUCUUUACCAUCAUUUAUAGUCAUAUUAUUAAUUUUUUGUUUUGUUUUUGGUACCAGGCUUUGAACUCUUGGACUUGUGCUUGCCAGGCAGGCACUACACCACUGAGCUAAAUCCCCAGCCCUCCCUUACCAUCAUUUAUAAGUCCUCCUUUCAGAGUUGGUUUCUAGGUAACCCAACCUGAAAUAUGCCUUCCUAGCUUAAAACCCAUCUGUGGAUCCCUACUACCUCAGAAUAACGCCCUGCUUACCUUUCCUUCUGCACCUCUUUGUACUGCGUCCAGCACGAUUUCAGAAUAACCAAGCAUCAUGUCAUUCCAUCAACUGCCAUUUGUCAUCCAGAAACAAUCUGUCUCCCCUCAAUCCCCAAAUCCAUCACCUUGAAGGACAAGAGACUGUGUAAUGUCACUCCAAUCCGAUCAGGUAGGUCUUCAGGGCUUUGUCCCUGACAAGGUGGGUAGGGUGUUCCCUACUAAAGUGUAACCUGGAAUUCUCAUAAAUUCUACCUCACAUCAGGUGUGGUGGUACACACUUGUAAUUCUAGCACUCAGGAGGCUGAGGCAGGAGAAUCUUUUCAAGUUUGAGACCAACCUGAGCUACAAAGUAAGCUCAACUGCAUAAUGAGACUCUGUCUCAAAAAUAACAAAACAAAACAACAAAAAAAGUUCUAUCUCAAAUCUAAUUCUGAGCCCAUCUGCUUAUCUGGAGUCCUUUCCUUUUCUGGAGUUCCCUUCCUUUCUAGUGCCUGCCUUUCUCUUGUGGGGCACCGAAGUCUUUACUGGGCCUGUCAGGGCACAACCUUGUAUGUUCCUUAUCUUGGCAGUUGACAGGCAGUAUUUUUUAUGUGUCUCAGGCUCAGGAAUCAGGUGGCUUAGGAGGGUGCCUAGUCUAAGAACCCUCAUCUCUAAAACCUACAGCUGCCAGGAAGGGAAGACUCAGAAAUAGAGCCUAAAGCUGCGGCCUUCAAUGCUGAGUCUAGGACUCAGAAAAAUCCAUUGAAUUAGAUGAAUAGAAGAUCUUUGCAUAAACUGCCAAAGUCACCUCCCUUCCUGCCAAAUAAAACAGGUGCAAGAAUGGAAGCCUAAGCCAGGAAUGGUGGUGCACGUCUGUAAUGCCCGCACUCUGGGAGGUUGAGCCAGGAGGAUCACAAAUUUAACCCCAACCUGGGCAAUUUAGCAACUUAGCCAGAACUUGUUUCAAAAUAAAUGAAAAAACGGCUGGGAUGUACCAAUGGAAAGAAGAAAAAAAUAAAAGGACCUUUAUGGUUUGUGUCUGGAUGUUCCCCCAAAGCCUCAUGCAGUCAUGGAGGCCUGCUUCCCUGAGGUCGGCUUCUUGAGUUUGUGACUGAUUCAUGAUCCAGUGUUGGGAUGAUGGGUGUAAGUGCUAUACCCAUCCUAGGGUGGGUAGACUACAUACAAAAUAAGAGGCAAAAAGAGUCUUCUCUCCACAAUCUUCCCUUUUUGCUCUUGUUGCUUUUGCUGUUUUCCACUGCCAUGAACUGUUGCCCUCUGCCACACCAACCUGCCUUGGACCCAGCAGAUUAUGAACUGAAACCUCCACAAACUGUGAGCUAAAUAAACCUCUCCUGCUUUAA